ensembl:miRNA gga-mir-1845 gga-mir-1845
GCUUCUUUCUCUUCCUCCCGGCGUACAUCCCGCCGGCAGCACCGAGCAUCGCCGGCUGCGCCCGGAGGAGGAGUUUAAACAGGAGU